UUUUCCAACAGCAUCCUUGGACUUCAGCCGCUCUCCUGUAAUCAGAGAAUGCUCAGGAAUCUUGGCGCUGGGUAAACAAAAACAAAACAAAAAAGUACUGGAGCCAUCCUGCGCCCAAGCUGAAUGUCUCCUCUCUACACACUUCUGUUAGGAUUCUUCCAGGCUCUGCACCAUGAAGAUGCCAGCACCAGGUAUUUGGACACAGGGUCUCAAAAGGACAGGAUGAGGCUCAGACAUGCUCACGCCUCAUACAUCAAAACAGCUGAAGGGUUCCUGUUACACAGCUGGUGAGCACUAGUGUCUUGCUCUUUCUUCAGCUCCUCUGCCAUCAUGGCCGCCUUGACAUACAAACAAUAGAGUCCAGUCAACAGGUACACUCGGAGCAAAGGGCAGAAGCUCAGCAGAGUUUGAAAGAUCAACUUGUGACCACCAGAAAUGGCCUGCUGGGACCACCUCAACAAAUUCGAAUGCCUUCAAGCACUCCAUUACAUCGUAGCUGGUGCAGGACAAGCUUGUGAUCCAUUGCACCUGUGGAAGAGAAAACCAAAAUAGCAGUUUUCCCUGAUACUCGACUGAAGUCCUGCUGGAAAUUGAUGUCAGAUUGUCUUAGUUACCUGGAGUUUUAGUUUCAUUGGGGAUGAUGCAGCGCACAAAAUGUGGCACGAACAUGUGAUGGUUGAAAAACUGUUGCAGUUUCUCAUUGGUGAAGUUGAUGCAAAGCUGCUCCAGGCUGUUGUACUAACACCAGAAUAUAUUAUGUUAAUAUGAUGACUUUGGUUUCAAAGGUACACAGAAAGAAGAAAGGAACUGGAUGAAAUAAGACGUCUUAAUCUAGAAAGGAGCAGACAGCUAGGUUAAUGUUACCCAUUGGGCAGCAAAGAUUAGAGAAGAGAACUCAGCAACGGACCUCAGCCACAGCCAUUAAGGACCAAGCCCCCUUGGUUCAGCAAUACUGCAUUGCCUGUAUCCAAAACUAUUACAUGGAUAUCUCAACAAAGAAGCACUUGGUAAACAGCCUGCAAUUAGCUCUUGAAGUCCCCCCCUCCCAAAGCAGGAUUCAACAUAUCCCCAAGCAUUCAGGGAAUACAUAAAUAUACAAAUAUCUGUCCUUCUGCAAACCUGUUUGUAGUCUAGAAAUGAUAACUGCUUUGACUGAUACACCCUCUUCAGGAAGAGUGCUGCCUCCAGAUCGACACUUCAUGCUCUCCUCUUCCUCAGAGCCUCCUCAUUUGGCCAACACACCUGGUAAUCUUUGCAGAAACUUGAGGCAUUAUUUAAAGAGUCUGCUUGUUGCAAGGCUGAGGAAACAAGGUGCUGACACACAGGAUGGCUUUGCUGUUGUGCAGAUUCCACCAAUGCCAAGGUGAGAAGGGGCUGUUGGUGUUUGUUUUCCUGGACAGCAAAGGGUAUUCCUCCAGCCCUUGUUGCUUCCAGACAACAUCCUUGUUUAUUGGCACUCUCUUUUCUUUGGUAAGUUUUCAUGGAAGAGACGCCACCUUCAUUCUUUUGUCCAGGUCCAGCUGGUCAACCUUCUUCCUGAACAAGCACCCACAUCUCUUUAUCCUCGUUUGUGUGUGUGUGUGGUUUUCUCCUCAACAUCCAUUGCCGUUAAUUGGAAGACCUACUCAAAUAAGUCCUGUGACCCACCUCCCCCAGCAGCUCUUCAACCACCAUUUAGGGACAGUUGUAGUAUGCCUAGACUUGAUCUGAAAAUUAAUGGAAGGUUUUUUUGAGGGCAUUCCCUGAUAUAUAUAGAGCAGUAACAGAAACAUAGCAAUGCUAUUAGUAGCUGAAAUAUGGUGAUAUAACAAUAUGCAAAAGAAUCUGCACACUGCAAGCCCUUCCCUCCAUUACUUAUUAGAGGUAAAUUAUACUUCACACUGUGUGCAAACCUGCUUGUGUGGAAACUCAGUCCAUUGCCAGUAAGCCAAUCCUCAACAUUCAUUUUAGUGCUUAAUUGAAUAAGGCUGGAUUUUCUGUCUCCCUGCAGUUCCAUCUCAUGUCUGGUCCUCAUUUAGUACGGGUUAGCAGCUGCCUCCCCCAUCUUCCUUUAAUUCAUUUAUUUCUGGGAAAUGAAAUUCAAUAUUCUCUUCUACACCCAACUGUUUGCUGAAUUUGGGAGCAAUGCUCUCUCCUGUCUUGGGGAGGUUAGGCUUGUGAAUGCAUGCUCCAGAACACUGAAGUUACGGAAACUGUUUUAUAAAAGGGCAAGAGAAACCCUUUGUGUUCAAAUUAUGUACUGUCAUAAGUUUUAAGAAUCAUUUAAUGGCAUGUUAUAGUGUUUUAUAUUUUAAUGAUUUUUAAGCUGCUUUGAGAGCUGUAUCACAAAAAAGUCUAGAUAAUUCUGUAAAUAAAUAAUAUCAAAUGUAAAAUG